UGUAGACUUCCUGUUAGACAGAUAUGAAGAGGAAGAAGAUAGUGAGCUAUUCCACUUGGAAGAAGAGGAGCAGGACAAAGCUCUGUUUGAAGAUAAGGGUGAAGGCAGCACAGUUCUUAUGUUUGAGGGACAAGAUUUGAAGAGAGAACUUACUGAAGAUGAUGAAAAGGACUUCCAGUUUAUUCCUGAUGCCAUCAUAAA
rnacentral:sRNA from 1 species